GUGUGUGUAUAUAUUAUACAAUACAUACACGCACCAUCCUCAUGGUCAUUCAGUAGACUCAUCUGUAUGAAUGAAGUGCUCUAGUAGCUGAAGCAAAUGGGUUCUCAACAACUGCUGCAGAGCCUUCCGAGCAUAGGAAUUCAAAAUGAGGGUGUAAAUUCUGCUUAUAAAUUAUCAGCUUUCAAGUUUGAAUAAGCUGCACCAAACAUGCCUAGUGACUUGUGCAUUCAUUGUUCGGCACGGCAAGAGGUGAAAGUUCCUUCAGUGCAUCACUUUGAGUUUGGAUGGCCAGAGGGCAUUGAGGUGGUCAAUUAUGUGGUGGAAAUUAAAUUUAUGUAAUGUGAAAUAAAUCUGAAUCAAAAAAAGAUAAUUUUAAAUAAUUUCUGAGUAGUUAAGUUUAAGUUUGUAAUAUUACUAUUUGAAGUAAUUAUCCUGAAUUUUCAUAAUAACAUGUAUUUUUGUGUAUCAUUCAAGGCAUUAUAUAUUUAUAUAUGAACUAAAAUUCUACAAAAAUGAUGGGUAAAUUGUUUAAUAAUAAAUUACAAAACACCAUUAAUCAGGCUACACGUUGUACCUACUUAUGAAAUAAUUUUAACAAUAUUCAGGAUAAUUCUGCCCCCUUCUUCUCCCAUCUCAAUUGAUUUAUACUCAUGGUCACCUGCAAUGCACGAGAUUUUAAAAAGUUAAUAAUUAUUAAAAAAAAAAAUUGCUAUUUAAUUGUAUUUCUUAAUAUUUUAUUUAGUUUAUGUAUAUAAAUCUUACUUCACAUCAUUAAAAAAAUGUUAAUAUUUCACAUUAUUGAAUUUUUUAAAAAACUAUCAUACAUUAAAUAAAUUAUCACAUAUAUAAUAGUUAAUUUAUCUAAGAAUUACUUUAGAC